GGAAUAUUGGUCAAUGGGCGCUAGCCUGAACCAGCCAAGUAGCGUGAAGGAUGACUGCCCUAUGGGUUGUAAACUUCUUUAGGCGGGGAGCAAUGCCGGGCACGCGUGCCCGGAGGGAGAGUACCCGCAGAAUAAGCAUCGGCUAACUCCGUGCCAGCAGCCGCGGUAAUACGGAGGAUGCGAGCGUUAUCCGGAUUUAUUGGGUUUAAAGGGUGCGUAGGCGGGAUGCCAAGUCAGCGGUCAAAUACGGGGGCUCAACCUGCGUCCGCCGUUGAAACUGGCGUUCUUGAGUGGGCGAGAAGUAUGCGGAAUGCGUGGUGUAGCGGUGAAAUGCAUAGAUAUCACGCAGAACUCCGAUUGCGAAGGCAGCAUACCGGCGCCCUACUGACGCUGAGGCACGAAAGCGUGGGUAUCGAACAG
rnacentral:rRNA from 1 species